rnacentral:rRNA from 1 species
UACGUAGGGCGCAAGCGUUGUCCGGAAUUAUUGGGCGUAAAGAGCUCGUAGGCGGUUUGUCGCGUCUGCUGUGAAAACCUAAGGCUCAACCUUGGGCUUGCAGUGGGUACGGGCAGACUAGAGUGCGGUAGGGGUGACUGGAAUUCCUGGUGUAGCGGUGGAAUGCGCAGAUAUCAGGAGGAACACCGGUGGCGAAGGCGGCAUCCUGGACCGGCAUUGACGCUGAGGCGCGAAAGCCAGGGGAGCAAACGGG